GCCCGCCUAGCUCAAUCGGAUAGAGCGUCAGACUUUUACGGCGGGGAAUCUGAAGGCUGCGAGUUCGACCCUCGCGGUGGGCU
rfam:Lentinula edodes NBRC 111202 DNA, contig: scaffold462.